AGGUCCCUAUGGGAUAAAGAAGAGUGAGUGUAAAGAAAAUUCAGGGCAGCAAGAGACGGGGUAAGGACUGAAGUGUCUUCCACACAGUGAUGGAAAGAGCAGCAUCAACCCUAAAAGCAAAAGAACAAACAGCUCCAGCAUCUGCUGCUAUUGCAGAAAUAGGUCCUGUUUACAUCAGGGAAAGAUCUGCAGAUCACAGCAGGAGUCAACCACAGCUUUCCCAAAAGCUCCCACCUGACUCGAGUCCAAGUGGAUUUUCCCUUUCUCUAGGGAAGUCUGUAUGGGGCUUGUUGGCUGGCACAAGGAGUUUGAAUGUCACAACAUGGCUUUACAUUUUGGGAAACUCAUAGCUGAGUGGGAUAGCCUGGCUGCCACAGGGGUCUGUCCAAAUGAAAGCUGGAUUCUGUAUGCUGCAAGGCUGUCAUAUCAGGAUGCUGCAAAAGAGGUUGUUGCAUCUUCUUCCUGUAAAGUUGGUGGAGUUUCUCUCUAUGCAGGGGGUACAACCUUUCUGGCCAGGAAGCUGUUUUCCUUGCUCUGUGGUUUUCUUGCUGCUGCUGCUGCUUUUAAAGGGGUCAACACUCUUAGUUCCAGGAAACUGAAACUAAAUGUGAGCAGGGACUGGAGGAAGGAAGCAGAGAGAAUCCCCUACAAGAUUCCAAUACGUCUUAUUUCUGGGAAAACUAAAUAAAGCAGGAUUCAACUGCCAGUGGCUAAAUAGCAGCAAUUUAUGAGCUGUUCCUCAAAAGCCCCAGACAAGCACCGAGUCCUGUGGGAAGCUGGAGAUUGACACAGGAUACCUCCAGAAGAGACUGCUCUUGAAACUUCCUUUAAGCCUUUUUUUCAAGUGGAGCAUCGAGACCUGGCAAUUGCAUACAGUCAGCCCUUAAAAGAGCAAAGAGCUCUCUCUAAGAAAACCAAAUGAGUGGCCAAAGUCUGUCCAUUUGUCUGCCUUUUUGGCCUUGGAUUACAGUGCUUUUCAAAGCUGUGCUUUCAUAACUUGGAUUAAAAAAGUAGAUGUUUCAUAUAGCUCUACAAGUAGUAAUCAUCCUGUUCAUGCAAAAUAUCUGCUGCCUGAGGGAUGGGCCCAAACUGGAGGUGUUUCUCUUUUACCUACAAAGCACCUGGCUUUAGCAUCUGUAGUCAGUUUUUGUGAACCUGUGAGUCCACUGCCUGCUCUAAUGGAGUUAGUGUCUUAUUUUCAGUGGUUGUAGAGAGUUUCACUGAAAUAGCACUGUUUGUAGUCCAUUGUGUGACUUAGGAGAUACAAUAGCCAGACAAUUCUGCAAUUGUAAUAUAACUGUACGUGGCGUUCCCAGAAAAUGCUCUGAAGUCUUCUCCCAUUGCACCAUGGUGAUAGAAACCUCUGCUGCUUUUCAAGCUCCAUGAAUCCAUGCUGUGCCAUGCUGAAAGUGAUAGAAAAUCCAAUUAGCUCUGAAAAGUAAAGGGCAGAGAGGGAUGCUCUGGCCUGGAAUUCCCUCCCUUUGGAAGCAGCAAAGGUCAACCGUGCAGCCAAAUUUCCAUGACCACGUGUGGAUCCAGCUUGUUUGUGUUGCCAGCUCUCUGCACAGAGGAAUGGGAGGUGGGGUAGGAAGAAUUGAUUCUGGAGGCGGAAAGCCUGAGGGGAAGAGUAAAGUUAAAUGUGACAGCUGGGAUUCCAGAAGGCAGUUUGAUGGAUGCUGGGCAUCCAGCUUCUGUAGAACUCUUUAUCAGUAACACCCUCUCUAUCUCCCUGAGUGACUUUUAGCCUGUCUGGCACUUUUCAGCAUCAGUGUGUGAGGGAAAAGAGAUGGGAGGCAGCUCUCUCUGAUUUGGCAACUCUGGGACUUCAGUACAUGUGACUUUUGUGCUGCUGGCUGAGGGUCUGGAUCUCUGAGGAGCUUCCUGACUACCUGUGGUUCCCAUAGGCUUGUAGGACUGGGCUUAGAGAAACCCUGAGCUGCCAGAUGGAUUCUGCCCCUGGUGCAGCUCUUCUGAGUAGUCCUGGGUGUGGAAGUGAGCCUGCAGUCCUUGGGAGGCAAAAUGCAUUCCACAAUCCCAAGGGAUCUGCUCUAUCUCUCAGUGCAGGCCAGCUGUGGGAAGCCUCCAAGUUCCUUUAUCCUGAUCUGUGUGUCAGGGCCUUGUGGCUCACCAUGAGUGACCAGAGCUGCCAUGGACCCUUCUUGCAAGGGCAGUUGUCAUCAGAGUCAGCAUAGGUUCAGGUUAUCUUUGGAAAAGUGUGAAUAUCCUGGGGAAAUCCAUGGGGCAGAAACCUUGGGCCAUACUGUGUUCCCACCAUUAGCAGGCAUGAUAUUGACAGGCAGGCUUUCCUUUUGGUGUGAAACCUUGCUCUGAUGCAUCAUUCUGAGGAAAACAGCUGGAAUUUGCAGGCCAGGUCAUGUGGUGAGAUAAGUAAUUCCAGCUCCCUUACUGGACCUGAUUUAUACAGGCCAGGUCCAAUAUUUCUGAGAAAUAGUUGAUGGUGGGGGCUUUUUUGUUUGUUUCACUGAAAACUUGAACCCUUUCAAAUAAAAAACAAAUGAGGUAUAGGAAAUUUUUAGCU
ensembl:lncRNA